rnacentral:ncRNA from 1 species
AAAGCUAUUGGGCCCAUAACCCAAAAAUAGGUAAACUUCUAUAGAAUACAUUUUGUUAUGGUAGUAAAUUUAAUUUAGUAUAUAAUUAACAAGGUACUUUAUGGUUUACACCUAUACCAGUUAAUAGCAUUAAAAAUAAUAGAAAUAUUGAUUUAGUUUAUACUUCUAUAUUAUGGAUAAUCAAGUGCCAGCAUCCGCGGUCAUACUUGAAUAAUAUUUAAUUUAAUUAGAAUUUAUUAAUAUUAUUUUAAAUUUUAAAUAUGAUGGUGAAAUAAUAUUUUACUAAUAACAAACUAUUAAAUAAUAUAUUAUUAAAUUCAAACUUUUAUAAAAAACUAGGAUUAGAUACCCUACUAUUAAAAGCCUCAUAAUAAAUUCUAAUUAGUAAUACUAUAAGAAAUGUAUAAACUUAAAUAACAUGGCGGUAAUUAUAAACUUUAGGGGAACUUACUUAUUAAUGGAUAACCACCCAGAAAUCUAACCAUUUAAUUUACAGCUUGUAUGCCGUCGUCAUCAGAAACUCUAUUAAAAAGUUUCAAGUUUUAAUUUUAUAAAAAAUGACAGAUCAAGGUGCAGCCAAUAUAAUGGUUUUAGCGAGUUACAAUUAUAAUUUUUAUCGGAAGUCUUUUUGAAAUAAUAACAGAAGUUGGACUUAAAAGUAAAUAAUAUUAAUUAUAAUUUUAAUUGAAUUUUUUAUAGUUGUGCACAAAUCGCCCGUCACUCCUAUACCUUUGGAUAAGUCGUAACAUAGUAGGCGUAGCGGAAGCUGUGCCUGUUUAAAU